rnacentral:lncRNA from 1 species
AGUGAAGCCUGCUCAGUUACUGAUGGCACUUGCUGCCUACCCUGACAACCUGAGUUCAGUCCCCAGGUAGAAGGAGAUAGUGAAGUCUUGGAGGUCUCUUACUUUGUUUCUUGAUCACAGUACAUUGGAGGAGACUCUCCAGCCCAUUGUUACUUGAGUGAUACUGUGUCUUGGUCCUGCAGUUAAAGCAGUAGUGGGAAGAAGUUCACACAGGCCUAUGUAGCAAUGACCUUCAAACCUGCCUCCUCCCCAGCCCCCAGCAGCUGGGGUUAUUUGCUGUGUUUUAUGGUAGCCUGUUUUUUUAGAGUUGAUCAGAAUGAAAAUGUGUGAUUUGAACCAUGCUUGACUAUCAAGCUUCAUUACAACUUUCCAGAAAACAUGGUCUUUACUGCGUGCUCAGUAAAGCUGGGGCAGCCAGCAGCCAUGCUCCCUGCGUGGACACGGAAGCAUCAGCGUGGUCUUCCCCCUUCAGGGCGUUGGCUGUCCCUGGGAAGGGCACUGUGGUGAAACACAUCUGGACUGUUUUAUUGCAGUAGUUUUUUUCAUAUCUGAAAUUGUAUUAUUUAAUAUUUUGAAUAAGAUUUUAAGAAAUAAAUGGUAAAGAUAU